UGCUGGAUUCGCCCUUGGAGUUUGAUCCUGGCUCAGGAUGAACGCUAGCUACAGGCUUAACACAUGCAAGUCGAGGGGCAGCAUGUCGGUUGCUUGCAACCGAUGAUGGCGACCGGCGCACGGGUGAGUAACGCGUAUCCAACCUACCCUUGUCCAUCGGAUAACCCGUCGAAAGGCGGCCUAACACGAUAUGCGGUUCACAGCAGGCAUCUAACGUGAACGAAAUGUGAAGGAGAAGGAUGGGGAUGCGUCUGAUUAGCUUGUUGGCGGGGUAACGGCCCACCAAGGCUACGAUCAGUAGGGGUUCUGAGAGGAAGGUCCCCCACAUUGGAACUGAGACACGGUCCAAACUCCUACGGGAGGCAGCAGUGAGGAAUAUUGGUCAAUGGACGAGAGUCUGAACCAGCCAAGUAGCGUGCAGGAUGACGGCCCUAUGGGUUGUAAACUGCUUUUAUAGGGGGAUAAAGUGUGCCACGUGUGGCAUAUUGCAGGUACCCUAUGAAUAAGGACCGGCUAAUUCCGUGCCAGCAGCCGCGGUAAUACGGAAGGUCCAGGCGUUAUCCGGAUUUAUUGGGUUUAAAGGGAGCGUAGGCCGUUUGGUAAGCGUGUUGUGAAAUGUCGGGGCUCAACCUGGGCAUUGCAGCGCGAACUGCCAGACUUGAGUGCGCAGGAAGUAGGCGGAAUUCGUCGUGUAGCGGUGAAAUGCUUAGAUAUGACGAAGAACUCCGAUUGCGAAGGCAGCCUGCUGUAGCGCAACUGACGCUGAAGCUCGAAAGCGUGGGUAUCGAACAGGAUUAGAUACCCUGGUAGUCCACGCGGUAAACGAUGGAUGCUCGCUGUUUGCGUCUGACGUAAGCGGCCAAGCGAAAGCGUUAAGCAUCCCACCUGGGGAGUACGCCGGCAACGGUGAAACUCAAAG
rnacentral:rRNA from 1 species